rnacentral:rRNA from 1 species
CUACGGGGUGCUGCAGUGGGGAAUAUUGCACAAUGGAGGAAACUCUGAUGCAGCAACGCCGCGUGGAGGAUGACACUUUUCGGAGCGUAAACUCCUUUUAUAUAGGAAGAAGAUGACGGUACUAUAUGAAUAAGCGCCGGCUAACUCCGUGCCAGCAGCCGCGGUAAUACGGAGGGCGCAAGCGUUACCGGAAUCACUGGGCGUAUAGAGCGUGUAGGCGGAUUAAAAAGUCAGAAGUGAAAUCCUAUAGCUUAACUAUAGAACUGCUUCUGAAACUCUUAAUCUAGAAUAUGGGAGAGGUAGAUGGAAUUUCUGGUGUAGGGGUAAAAUCCGUAGAGAUCAGAAGGAAUACCGAUUGCGAAGGCGAUCUACUAGAACAUUAUUGACGCUGAGACGCGAAAGCGUGGGGAGCAAACAGGAUUAGAUACCCGGGUAGUC